UACGAAGGGGGCUAGCGUUGUUCGGAAUUACUGGGCGUAAAGCGCACGUAGGCGGUUUGUUAAGUCGGAUGUGAAAUCCCUCGGCUCAACUGAGGAAGUGCAUCCGAAACUGGCAGGCUUGAGUACUAAAGAGGGUCGCGGAAUUCCCGGUGUAGAGGUGAAAUUCGUAGAUAUCGGGAGGAACACCGGUGGCGAAGGCGGCGACCUGGGUAGAUACUGACGCUGAGGUGCGAAAGCGUGGGGAGCAAACAGG
rnacentral:rRNA from 1 species